AAUAGAUACCCCGGUAGUCCACGCCGUAAACGAUGAGUGCUAAGUGUUAGGGGGUUUCCGCCCCUUAGUGCUGCAGCUAACGCAUUAAGCACUCCGCCUGGGGAGUACGGUCGCAAGACUGAAACUCAAAGGAAUUGACGGGGGCCCGCACAAACGGUGGAGCAUGUGGUUUAAUUCGAAGCAACGCGAAGAACCUUACCAGGUCUUGACAUCCCACUGACCGCUAUGGAGACAUAGCUUUCCCUUCGGGGACAGUGGUGACAGGUGGUGCAUGGUUGUCGUCAGCUCGUGUUGUGAGAUGUUGGGUUAAGUCCCGCAACGAGCGCAACCCUUGAUCUUAGUUGCCAUCAUUUAGUUGGGCACUCUAAGGUGACUGCCGGUGACAAACCGGAGGAAGGUGGGGAUGACGUCAAAUCAUCAUGCCCCUUAUGACCUGGGCUACACACGUGCUACAAUGGACGGUACAAACGGUUGCCAACCCGCGAGGGGAGCUAAUCCGAUAAAACCGUUCUCAGUUCGGAUUGUAGGCUGCAACUCGCCUAC
rnacentral:rRNA from 1 species